GAGUGAGGGAGGGAGAAAUAAAUGAAACGAGGAUGGGGGAGCUCGCCUGUUUCGAUCGAGGAUUGCUGGCGGUCGCGAGCACGGUGAGUAAUCUGGCAGCAUGAGAGAUGUGAUCUGCUUUUGAUGGCGCUCGAUCGAUUCGCAUAGAUCUCUUUCUCCCUUAACGCGGCUCACCAAACAGCGGCCGCGGCAGCUUUCCUGAAAAUCACGUAGUCAGUUCGGUCAGUUGAGUCGUGGUACUGGGAGUUUUUUCUAUCUAGAAAAAUACGAGGUGAAAGGAACGGAGGAAAGUGAGAGCACUAAAAACUCUGGUUUGCUUACUUGACGCUUUGUUCUUUGUUGGCACUGUUGCUGUUGAUGUUGUCGAUUUUAAGAUCAUCGGUCAGGCGGGCCUGCGGAUCAAAAUGGUUUUUUUCUUUUCGUUUUCCUGAAGCAAAAAAGUAAAAAGAGUGCUUGAUCGAAGCAAAAGCUACUGCAAACUGCGCUACAAUUGGCCUACCUCAAGGAACGACAAAUAGACCAGCAGUUAAGUCGUGGUACUGAACAGCUCAAUCGUUGCGUUUAUGUGCUGCGACCUUGUAGAGAGAAAAAAAGGAAACAGUGUCACAUUCAAAGGAAAGAAAAAA
rnacentral:lncRNA from 1 species